rnacentral:rRNA from 1 species
UUUGGUUAAGUUAGAAAGGGCGCACGGUGGAUGCCUUGACACUAGGAGUCGAUGAAGGACGGGACUAACGCCGAUAUGCUUCGGGGAGCUGUAAGUAAGCUUUGAUCCGAAGAUUUCCGAAUGGGGAAACCCACCAUACGUAAUGGUAUGGUAUCCUUAUCUGAAUACAUAGGGUAAGGAAGACAGACCCAGGGAACUGAAACAUCUAAGUACCUGGAGGAAGAGAAAGCAAAUGCGAUUUCCUGAGUAGCGGCGAGCGAAACGGAACAUAGCCCAAACCAAGAGGCUUGCCUCUUGGGGUUGUAGGACAUUCUAUACGGAGUUACAAAGGAACGAGGUAGACGAAGCGACCUGGAAAGGUCCGUCGUAGAGGGUAACAACCCCGUAGUCGAAACUUCGUUCUCUCUUGAAUGUAUCCUGAGUACGGCGGAACACGUGAAAUUCCGUCGGAAUCUGGGAGGACCAUCUCCCAAGGCUAAAUACUCCCUAGUGAUCGAUAGUGAACCAGUACCGUGAGGGAAAGGUGAAAAGCACCCCGGAAGGGGAGUGAAAGAGAUCCUGAAACCGUGUGCCUACAAAUAGUCAGAGCCCGUUAACGGGUGAUGGCGUGCCUUUUGUAGAAUGAACCGGCGAGUUACGAUCCCGUGCGAGGUUAAGCUGAAGAGGCGGAGCCGCAGCGAAAGCGAGUCUGAAUAGGGCGUUUAGUACGUGGUCGUAGACCCGAAACCAGGUGAUCUACCCAUGUCCAGGGUGAAGUUCAGGUAACACUGAAUGGAGGCCCGAACCCACGCACGUUGAAAAGUGCGGGGAUGAGGUGUGGGUAGCGGAGAAAUUCCAAUCGAACCUGGAGAUAGCUGGUUCUCCCCGAAAUAGCUUUAGGGCUAGCCUUAAGUGUAAGAGUCUUGGAGGUAGAGCACUGAUUGGACUAGGGGUCCUCAUCGGAUUACCGAAUUCAGUCAAACUCCGAAUGCCAAUGACUUAUCCUUAGGAGUCAGACUGCGAGUGAUAAGAUCCGUAGUCAAAAGGGAAACAGCCCAGACCGCCAGCUAAGGUCCCAAAGUGUGUAUUAAGUGGAAAAGGAUGUGGAGUUGCUUAGACAACUAGGAUGUUGGCUUAGAAGCAGCCACCAUUUAAAGAGUGCGUAAUAGCUCACUAGUCGAGUGACUCUGCGCCGAAAAUGUACCGGGGCUAAAUACACCACCGAAGCUGCGGAUUGAUACCAAUGGUAUCAGUGGUAGGGGAGCGUUCUAAGGACAGUGAAGUCAGACCGGAAGGACUGGUGGAGUGCUUAGAAGUGAGAAUGCCGGUAUGAGUAGCGAAAGACGGGUGAGAAUCCCGUCCACCGAAUGCCUAAGGUUUCCUGAGGAAGGCUCGUCCGCUCAGGGUUAGUCAGGACCUAAGCCGAGGCCGACAGGCGUAGGCGAUGGACAACAGGUUGAUAUUCCUGUACCACCUCUUUAUCGUUUGAGCAAUGGAGGGACGCAGAAGGAUAGAAGAAGCGUGCGAUUGGUUGUGCACGUCCAAGCAGUUAGGCUGAUAAGUAGGCAAAUCCGCUUAUCGUGAAGGCUGAGCUGUGAUGGGGAAGCUCCUUAUGGAGCGAAGUCUUUGAUUCCCCGCUGCCAAGAAAAGCUUCUAGCGAGAUAAAAGGUGCCUGUACCGCAAACCGACACAGGUAGGCGAGGAGAGAAUCCUAAGGUGUGCGAGAGAACUCUGGUUAAGGAACUCGGCAAAAUGACCCCGUAACUUCGGGAGAAGGGGUGCUUUCUUAACGGAAAGCCGCAGUGAAUAGGCCCAAGCGACUGUUUAGCAAAAACACAGCUCUCUGCGAAGCCGUAAGGCGAAGUAUAGGGGGUGACACCUGCCCGGUGCUGGAAGGUUAAGGAGAGGGGUUAGCGUAAGCGAAGCUCUGAACUGAAGCCCCAGUAAACGGCGGCCGUAACUAUAACGGUCCUAAGGUAGCGAAAUUCCUUGUCGGGUAAGUUCCGACCCGCACGAAAGGUGUAACGAUUUGGGCACUGUCUCAACCAGAGACUCGGUGAAAUUAUAGUACCUGUGAAGAUGCAGGUUACCCGCGACAGGACGGAAAGACCCCGUGGAGCUUUACUGUAGCCUGAUAUUGAAUUUUGGUACAGUUUGUACAGGAUAGGCGGGAGCCUUUGAAACCGGAGCGCUAGCUUCGGUGGAGGCGCUGGUGGGAUACCGCCCUGACUGUAUUGAAAUUCUAACCUACGGGUCUUAUCGACCCGGGAGACAGUGUCAGGUGGGCAGUUUGACUGGGGCGGUCGCCUCCUAAAGUGUAACGGAGGCGCCCAAAGGUUCCCUCAGAAUGGUUGGAAAUCAUUCGUAGAGUGCAAAGGCAUAAGGGAGCUUGACUGCGAGACCUACAAGUCGAGCAGGGACGAAAGUCGGGCUUAGUGAUCCGGUGGUUCCGCAUGGAAGGGCCAUCGCUCAACGGAUAAAAGCUACCCCGGGGAUAACAGGCUUAUCUCCCCCAAGAGUCCACAUCGACGGGGAGGUUUGGCACCUCGAUGUCGGCUCAUCGCAUCCUGGGGCUGUAGUCGGUCCCAAGGGUUGGGCUGUUCGCCCAUUAAAGCGGUACGCGAGCUGGGUUCAGAACGUCGUGAGACAGUUCGGUCCCUAUCCGUCGUGGGCGUAGGAAAUUUGAGAGGAGCUGUCCUUAGUACGAGAGGACCGGGAUGGACGCACCGCUGGUGUACCAGUUGUUCUGCCAAGGGCAUAGCUGGGUAGCUAUGUGCGGAAGGGAUAAGUGCUGAAAGCAUCUAAGCAUGAAGCCCCCUCAAGAUGAGAUUUCCCAUAGCGUAAGCUAGUAAGAUCCCUGAAAGAUGAUCAGGUUGAUAGGUUCGAGGUGGAAGCAUGGUGACAUGUGGAGCCGACGAAUACUAAUAGAUCGAGGACUUAACCAUAUAA